UACGUAGGGGGCUAGCGUUGUCCGGAAUCAUUGGGCGUAAAGAGCGCGUAGGCGGCCAGAUAAGUCCGGUGUGAAAGUCAAAGGCUCAACCUUUGAAUGCCGCUGGAAACUGUCUGGCUAGAGUCCGGGAGGGGCGAGUGGGAUUCCUGGUGUAGCGGUGAAAUGCGCAGAUAUCAGGAAGAACACCUAUGGCGAAGGCAGCUCGCUGGGACGGUACUGACGCUGAGACGCGAAAGCGUGGGGAGCGAACAGG
rnacentral:rRNA from 1 species